rnacentral:lncRNA from 1 species
CCACACAUCGGAGCAAUUAAUCCAAAGGGAAACGGGUUGCAUCGAUAUGUUUUCACCGUUUUCAAACAGCCUGAAAAAGUCAAUUUCACAGACUUAAUCCUCGAUGAAAGACCAUCAGAUGCAUACCGAGCGAACUUUUCAACGAGAAAUUUUGCCCGCCGCUACAAAUUUGGAGACCCUCACGCUGUCAAUUAUUUGUAGUGAAUUGGGAUACGUCGUAAGCUACAUCCAAGCAUCUUUAAAAGAAAAAGUUUGAGGAAGAAAAAAGGACGAGAAUUAGUACGUGAUUGUUAGAGUGAAUUUUCUUUUCUCGCUUUUUGUUCUCCUCCCGGGAUUAUCAAGGAAUUUUUGAACAGUUCUGAUAAAAUUCUGUAGAGUAAAAUAAUUAAGUAAUUUUUUUGAAAACACGUUCCUUCAACGAUGUGUUUUUGUGAUUUUCAAAUAAUUUAGUUUACUAAAAUGUACAGAAUAUUUCUACUAAAUAUAGCAACAUUUGUAUUUUUGUGCAUGUUUUAUAAGUACAAAGAUAAAGUUUUCAAAGCCUAAAGCUUUAGCCGCGCGAUUUUCAAUGCAACAUUCUCCGCAUGGAAGUAACAACAUUUUUCGGAGUAGCCUGUUCUUUUAUAGGAAAUCUCAAGUUCGCGGGAAAUUCUGGGUAUAGGUAAAAAAUAAGAGAUAAUUUCCAGACUCAGCGCUAAACAUUACGUGAGAAAUGAUCAUCAUGUAUCCAGGAUUUUUUUGGUGCAGACCGAUGUCAUUUUUACCUUAAGAACCUUCUUUCCAUGUGUUUCAAAGAAUAAUCAAAAUGAUUUUUAAUGCAAACUGUUGAAUUAGACGUUUUCUUACAACUAAAAUUCGACUUUUUGUGAAAAAUUACCUUCAAAAAUAUGUAUUUGUCCAUCAUACGACGGUCGACAUUCACAUGAUAACCAUGAACGUAGCAAGAGAGGACCGGGGAGGCAAGGUCCCACCUAGAAUUGAAAAUAGUACCAUCUUCCCCCCCCCCCUCAGAAAUGUUGACUGGUGGAAAAAGAUUUUCGUAAAGGAUUUUUGUCUCUUUUAAUGCAGAAUUUUUAUGAUCCUAACUUCAUCGGACAGGGCCGUCCCAUGCAGUGAUGUCAUGUUUAAUGAACACCACGUACUCAUUCGGAUAGUAUUUUCUAGAUUUUUCGUCAUGGGGCCUCAAAAUGGGUCCAAAUUGAGUCGAAUGUUUUGAAAAGUUCCGGACUUGUUGAAUCCAACAAUUCAGAAGAAUUAUAUGCUGAAAGUACGCAAAACAGCGUAAUUUUUUUUGCAGAAAUCGGCAGAUUAUUUGCGUCACGGGAGCCUUAAAAUACGCCCAAUCAGAAUUAAAAUUGCGAAAAAUUUCCAAGGGUACCCCCCUGUGCUCCCCUCUGAACUAGAGGACAUUCCAUACCCCAUGGACCCUCUUGCGGUAGAGGGGCCAUGAUCUUCCUAGCAAAAUAACCGAGCUGCACCUGUUAUGAUAACCUUAUGCCUGCGCUGUCGAGAGUCAAGACAAUUCGGCUCAUGGAUGUCACAAACGGGAAUAAAGAUUACAGAAAUUGAACGUUUUUCGUAAUCUUUGAUCGGCCCAUUCUCAAAUUCCUUUCUCCGUUCCUCCUCUCAUUCCGUUUGUUCCUUGCCGAACCCGUAAUUCCCUGGUCCAUUCAGAUUAUAAUCUUUGCAAUCGGUAAAAAUGUAAUCUUUAUCCCCGUUUGUGACACUGUGGAGGCCUAAAAUACGGGAACCAUCAGAAUGGAUUCAAAUUGUCUUGACUCUCAGUAUAAAGGGACUCUAUUCUAAUCCACUGUGCGUCGCAAUUAUAGUGAGUCACACGCCGAGCUCUCCCCCCCCUCCCUCCGCCUUUCAUCAAUGCCCCACCCCGCGACUCCCGUCUCCAGUCUGUCUAGUCCUUCGUGCCGCGCGGUAAUCGCUGAGGAAUGCGGAAGCGCCGGCCGGCGCCUAGACCUUUCAAUUUAGUUUCCGAGAAUCGAAAUCGAAUCCGUUAUCUGUCUCCUCCACUCCUGACCUACUUCUGCGAUCAUGCCGAGUGACCAUUCUGAGUGUAGGGGCACACAAUGGUCACUCUCAUAAGAGCUUAAAUUUAAAUACACCGCUUACAGAUGGCUGCUGCGAACUCUCCAAAAGUGACGAAACGCUCCGUUCCAUUCAUUUUGUUUCAGACUUGGCGGGAAAUUUGAAAUGAAAUGCCGAUCACCAUAUUUGAUGAUUAGUGGUCCAAUCGCUCCCGGCCAGAGGGAAAUGGGAUCCUUGAUAUGAAAAUCGGCAUUUCCAUACUUGAUUUCUCAUCGGUCGUACAUUCUUCUGGAUUUUAAAUUUCCCGCCAACGCUUAAGCAAAACAAACGAAACGGGGAAUUUUAUCGAUUUCACAGCUUGAAUGGGGGGGGGGAUAUAUCUUCGUUUCACUCACCUUGGCAGUGGGGUACCUUUCUUAUUAACCCUUGCCUUCCCUAUAACUUCGGAAUAUCCUAGGUGAUGAAGGUUUGAAGU